UGCUCUUAUAUCUAUGAAUUGGAUUGAGAGCCUGUGCUGAUGGCAUGUUUUUGUCUUUUAUCAUUGUCAAGCUAAGAAGUGAGUUCAGUGUACCUCUAGUGAAGAAGGAAUAGUCUUGGUCUUGCUGUCGUAGAAAGUGGAGGAGGUGACAAAGUACUGGGCUUGACUGAGUAACCCAGCAAUGCAUUUCACCCGAGCCACCAGCUAUGCAGUGAGGCUCUCUGUGACACAGGUUGGGUCUGCGACUGGUAGGCAACCAAUUGACCGUCUGGUGUUACCAUCUGCAUUACUGCUGGCAGGUUUGGGACUAGGGCUUUCGACUUUCAGUGUAAAGCAGUUGCUGGCCACAGCAAGACCUAAAUUCUAAGGCAACAAGCAACACUGACCACGGCACACAACAGCAUACAGAAGAUUUUGAUGCUCAUCAAUGCAAUACUGACUUGUGCAGAAAGUUUCAACAGAACAGUGUAAUGUCAUUUAAUGUAUCUGUCAACUUUUUGCUGAAAGUUUAAAGUUUUUGUAACAAUUAGGCAUUAUAUAAUAAAAGUACGGAAUAUGCAAUUAUACCAUUUUCUUGUAAGCCAACUUAUGAUAUAAAUUUCUGAAUUUGAUAUAAUCUUCAGUAAGUGCAGUGGGCUUUCCUUGUAUAGAAAAGUAUUGUUGCAUUGAACUGUUCAGAUCGAAACAAAAUAUGUAGUGUAUCUGAUUUGGGCAGUUCUAUUUAGUUUUUUUCUCAGAUUAUUAUGACUGCCAUGUUUAAACACAAGCAAGUUAGUUCCUCCUAGAAUUGAUUUUCACAAGUUAUCAAAACUAUUAACACCUUCAUAGUGCAGUUGUAAAUUAUAUCUUAUAAAUGGUAAUUUUUCAAUUCUGUAUAGCCUAAAUUCAGGGAAAUUUUUGUAAUUGUGAUUUCUGAAAUAACUUGCUGUAUUUAUUACAUGGGAGUCUGUUUUUUAUGUUUGUUAAUGGUUUCCUAUGUUUAUAUUCCUACUCUAGUCCAUCAGACCAGGCCUUCACACGUUAUUCAUUCACGAUACACAGGAUCAUCUCUCAAUCUGAUAAUGCUACAGACACAAUUUGUACUCUGUCAUUUUACAGAGCCAUGUUAUUUAUUAAAAACUAGAAUUUUGUCACCUUUGGUAAGAUAAUGUAGAAAAUAAAUUAAAAGCAAACUGUUUA